rnacentral:rRNA from 1 species
AAAAAGCCUCUAGUGAGUUCAUACACGGCCCGUACCCCAAACCGACACAGGUGAUCAGGUAGAGAAUACCAAGGCGAUCGAGAGAACUGUGGUUAAGGAACUCGGCAAAAUGCCCCCGUAACUUCGGGAGAAGGGGGACCAUGCCCGGUGAACAUCUUCACGGUGGGAGCUGGGUGUGGUCGCAGAGACCAGAGAGAAGCGACUGUUUACUAAAAACACAGGUCCGUGCGAAGACGUAAGUCGAUGUAUACGGACUGACGCCUGCCCGGUGCUGGAAGGUUAAGAGGACCGGUUAGCCGUAAGGCGAAGCUGAGAAUUUAAGCCCCAGUAAACGGCGGUGGUAACUAUAACCAUCCUAAGGUAGCGAAAUUCCUUGUCGGGUAAGUUCCGACCUGCACGAAUGGCGUAACGACUUCUCUGCUGUCUCGACACAGACUCGGCGAAAUUGCACUACGAGUAAAGAUGCUCGUUACGCGCGGCAGGACGAAAAGACCCCGGGACCUUUACUAUAGCUUGGUAUUGGCGUUCGAUUCGGUUUGUGUAGGAUAGGUGGGAGACUGUGAAGCGUGCACGCCAGUGUGUGUGGAGUCGUUGUUGAAAUACCACUCUGAUCGUAUUGGACGUCUAACCUCGGCCCAUGAUCUGGGUUAGGGACAGUGCCUGGUGGGUAGUUUAACUGGGGCGGUUGCCUCCUAAAGAGUAACGGAGGCGCCCAAAGGUUCCCUCAGCCUGGAUGGCAAUCAGGUGUUGAGUGCAAGUGCACAAGGGAGCUUGACUGUGAGACUGACACGUCGAGCAGGGACGAAAGUCGGGACUAGUGAUCCGGCACCGGCAAGUGGAAGCGGUGUCGCUCAACGGAUAAAAGGUACCCCGGGGAUAACAGGCUGAUCUUCCCCAAGAGUCCAUAUCGACGGGAUGGUUUGGCACCUCGAUGUCGGCUCGUCGCAUCCUGGGGCUGGAGUAGGUCCCAAGGGUUGGGCUGUUCGCCCAUUAAAGCGGCACGCGAGCUGGGUUUAGAACGUCGUGAGACAGUUCGGUCUCUAUCCGCCGCGCGCGUAAGAAACUUGAGGAAGGCUGUCCCUAGUACGAGAGGACCGGGACGGACGAACCUCUGGUGUGCCAGUUGUUCCACCAGGAGCAUGGCUGGUUAGCUACGUUCGGAAGGGAUAACCGCUGAAAGCAUCUAAGCGGGAAGCCUGUUCCAAGAUGAGGUUUCUCACCACCUUGCGUGGUUAAGGCCCCCUACAGACCAUGGGGUUGAUAGGCCGGAACUGGAAGCGCAGCAAUGCGUGGAGGUGACCGGUACUAAUAGGCCGAGGGCUUACC